ACAUCAUCACUUCCAAAUUUCAUAGGCUCCUCUCUCUCUCUCAGUCUCUCUCUCUAGAUUUCUCCUCAUUUUGAAUUACUUGUCUCUCCUGGGUGCUCCAAAAUCUAAAUCCAUACUCGAGCCCUUCCAUUUCCAGGCUCAAACCCUCAGGAUAGCAGACAUCCACGUUAGGCUUUAUUGCAGUUUUCAGCGGAUAUUUUGGUGAGCUCCAACUCUCUUUGGAGCCAGUCUAUGCCUAGUAUUUUGAUUAUAUGUACAGAUCUCCGGUUGGGCAUAACGGGCUUGAUGCUAACUAGUCACUUGUAGUUUAGCGUGUUAAACUGACUAGAGGCUUCAUGGACCGUGUAGUAUUAUAUAGUUUUGUAAAUGUAACUCCCUUGUGUAUAUAUGUAACUCUUAUUGAAUAUCCAGCUCGUUAUUAUUCCAUAACCUCGUGUACGUCAUAAAGUGCCUGUAGAGUAAAUGUACACGGUUCUUGUCCGUCAUUAUCGUUUUGGGGCUUAACAAAUCUGGAGACGAUUCCAAUGGAGAGGUCAGUCAUCUUUGAUUCAAUUCUUAAGGUAUUCGGCUGCUUUGUUGCAUGGGAAAUCCCUGUCCAUUGUUGCAGUACACUUGGCCCUCAUAUGACAACAAAGAGCAGAUGCUGCGCAAAAGCGAGAGGAGGAGAAAGCAUUCUUAUAUACUCAACGUUGGUUCUCUAAGAUUCUCUUCUCUAUUUGUUGGGAACAUGUUUGCAGUGUUUCUUCUGUGCAGCCAAAGAACAGAAGAAAUCGGAAGCUCGCAAGUAGCAUAUGGUUCCAUGAAUGGUGUUAAUCCAUGGCUAAUGCUUCACCGUCCGUUUAUGUUAUUGUCUAGUUUUAUAAGCAGACAUCUUAUAGAUGAAAUCAUACUGCUCUGAUUCUGUAUACAAAAUAGUUCUGUCUGGCCUUAAUAUGUACAAUCAUGGAAUGGAUAUACUCUCUUCUUUUUGGUUGGUUAGUUUUAGGUUUUGGUGGUGUUUGGUAUGAAGAAAAAUGCUCUCCAUGAAAAAUGUUUCUGAGAAAAUAAGUGGUUCUAACUUAUUUUCUAGUGUUUGAUUGGUUGCAUGGUUGCCGAGUGAAAACAUGAUCUGCGGGAUCCUUUUCUUCCA